GACGAACCGUGCGAACGUUGUUCGGAAUCACUGGGCUUAGAGGGCGCGUAGGCGGGCAAGCAAGUCGAAGGUGAAAUCCCACGGCUCAACCGUGGAAGUGCCCCCGAUACUGCUUGUCUUGAGGGAGAUAGGGGCGUGCGGAACUUCCGGUGGAGCGGUGAAAUGCGUAGAUAUCGGAAGGAACACCGGUGGCGAAAGCGGCGCGCUGGAUCUCUUCUGACGCUGAGGCGCGAAAGCCAGGGGAGCAAACGGG
rnacentral:rRNA from 1 species